UACGAAGGGGGCGAGCGUUGUUCGGAUUUACUGGGCGUAAAGGGCGCGUAGGCGGCCCUUCUGGUCGCGUGUGAAAGCCCCGGGCUCAACCUGGGAAUGGCGCGCGAAAACGGGGGGGGGCUUGAGUUCGGGAGAGGAGCGUGGAAUUCCCAGUGUAGAGGUGAAAUUCGUAGAUAUUGGGAAGAACACCGGUGGCGAAGGCGGCUCACUGGCCAGUUUCUGACGCUUGUAGCGCGAAAGCGUGGGGAUCAAACAGG
rnacentral:rRNA from 1 species